rnacentral:rRNA from 1 species
AACCACUCGCUCUCUCGCUCGCUCGCCGGCCAGUCGUUCAAUCUCCCCGUCGCCUCCCUCUCCCUCUCGUCGGUGUCUUCCUCACUGCCGCCUUGCUCCCCACCACCCUGAUUCGUACCCCUAACCCGCAACCCGCUUGUCAAAGGUGACAUUUUUACAGCCGCGCUGCUCGAUCUGUGAGCGGCGGUGCUCGAUCCGUCGGCGGCGUCGCUCGAUCCGUGCUGGAGCAGCGGGAGGAGGACGGCGGUGGUGGAUUGGAGACCGAAGCAGCGGGAGGAGGACGACGGUGCUGGAUUGGAGACCGGGGCAGCGGGCUUCUUCUAUUCUUCUCUUCUGUCCAGAAGCAGCCGCGGCUUGUUGACCUGCGCGCCUUCGUCCUGGCCGUGGCCGCUACCUGAGCUGCCCGCGAGGCGGCGCGGCAUGUGGGGGUCCCGAUGACCUUGAGGAGGAAGGCGAGCAUGGUGCUCCCGCCUCCAUGGCUAACAUUGUGAUGCUGCUGUCGUCAUCUUCCUGGUCGUCCUUGGCGUGCUUGCCUCCUGUGCCGCUGCUUCGCCGGACGAUGUUGCGCAGGAGGUGCGUCUGGCCGCAGAGGAAGGAGGUGUGCGUCUGACCGAAGCAGAGGGAGGACACCGCAUGCGCCUGGAGCACCGUAUAAGCGUCACCGUCGUCGUCCACUCCAUGCCCUGCAUCAGUUUUGGCAGCUCCAAUACUCCAAACUGUUGAUGGACAGAUGGACAGAUGGAAGGAGCAGCAGAGCGAGCUUGAUCAAUACUCCUAUCCCUGUAUGUACUCCAACACAGCAGAGCGAGCUUGGUCAACACAACAGAGGUUGAUCAACACAGCAGUAUUUGUACUCAAGUCUCCAACACAGACUGUUGAUGGCGCUGGCUUCUGUACUCCAACACAGACUGUGGAACCAACUUACUGCUCCUGUGCAUGAAUCCGGAGAACCAGAGUGGAGAACCAGUAUCUACUCCAGCAAAGACUCAGGCGAUCAACACAGACUGCAGGACUGCCGGCGAGGAAGAGAUCAAUUGGAGUGACUGGUCGACCUGGCUGCUCGCCGACGAGGUCAAUUGGCCGGAUCAGGAGCUCCGGUGCAUGAAUCGAGGAGGGCGUCGGGUUGCGCUGCUACUGCUGGUCAGUGCGGGGAGGAGCACGGGCGGCACGACAGGCAGGAGCCGCGGGCGGCUGGAGCCUGUGGCGGACGACGAGGGAGAUGCGUAUGGCAAGGACGGACCUUGGGUUCUCGAUCGGAGUGGAGGAAGGCGGCCGGCGGGGGCGGACGCCGGAGCUGCAGCGGAGGGGUGGAGCCUGGCGGACGGGAAUAGCGACGGAGGAAGAGGACGAUCCGAGCGACAAGUGUUUUUCAAAUUGGGGGUAGUUUCGUACUUUUUUUCCUUUUCAUCUGGUCGGAGAAUUGCCCCAAUGACAAAUAAAUCGGUACAGAGGGAGUAAUCUGCCCCUCUGUAGUGUUAUAAACGUUCUUAUAUUAUGGGACGGAGGGAGUAAAUGUCAUUCUGCUAAAAGAACAUGCUAAAGAAAUUGCAUGCAUGCUUAUGGGUAUCAUUAGAUGGCAAAAAGAAGUUCUCGGACUCUUGAAUGGAUGCGUGAGUGCUUGCAUGGGCUGCAGAAAAUUGCUGCUCCGGAACGGGCAAGCUGAGUGGUGUGCGUCAUUUGGAGUGAACGAGAUAG